rnacentral:sRNA from 1 species
GCCGGCGUCCGGGCUGGCUGGGCAGGGAGCGGCGGCACCGAGCCGGGGAUCCCGGCGCCGCCCGCGCGCGGUGGAGCGGGGGUUGCGGUCCCGGCCGGGUGGCGGGCUCCUGGGACACGUGAACGGGGCGGCGAGCGGGCUGGGCGGACGGGCUUCCGCCUGGGCCGGGCGCGGCCCCCUCUGAGCGCCCGCCCUCCCCGCAGGCCCCGUCUGAGGUCUGGCAGUCAGAGACAGAGCCGGGCGCCCACGGCCCGAGCGCCCACGGCAGCACCAUGCCCGCACUCCUGGAGCGCCCCAAGCUUUCCAACGCCAUGGCCAGGGCGCUGCACCGGCACAUUAUGAUGGAGCGGGAGCGCAAGCGGCAGGAGGAAGAAGAGGUGGAUAAGAUGAUGGAACAGAAGAUGAAGGAAGAACAGGAGAGAAGGAAGAAAAAGGAGAUGGAAGAGAGAAUGUCACUAGAGGAGACCAAGGAACAAAUUCUGAAGUUGGAGGAGAAGCUUUUGGCCUUACAGGAAGAGAAGCACCAGCUUUUCCUGCAGCUCAAGAAAGUUUUACAUGAGGAAGAAAAACGGAGGCGAAAGGAACAGAGUGACCUGACCACCCUGACAUCCGCUGCAUACCAGCAGAGCCUGACUGUUCACACAGGAACUCAUCUCCUCAGCAUGCAGGGGAGCCCUGGAGGACACAAUCGCCCAGGCACCCUCAUGGCAGCUGACAGAGCCAAACAAAUGUUUGGACCCCAAGUGCUAACGGUGAGAGUAGGAUUGGAUGCCUAGCCCCUAGUACUUCCAUCCAUGCAUCCUUGCCACCAGUAUUCAAGUUACAAACAUAUAUCAAACACUUAAGUUUAGGGGGGAAACGGGGCAUACAGAUAUACACAAGUCACUGGGUUUCAGCUUUCAAGGAGUUUAUAGGCGAGUUCUCAUUCUCCGUCCUUAGACCCGGCACUACGUGGGCUCAGCAGCUGCUUUUGCGGGGACACCAGAGCAUGGACAAUUCCAAGGCAGUCCUGGUGGUGCCUAUGGGACUGCUCAGCCCCCACCUCACUAUGGGCCCACACAGCCAGCUUAUAGUCCUAGUCAGCAGCUCAGAGCUCCUUCGGCGUUCCCUGCAGUGCAGUACCUAUCUCAGCCACAGCCACAGCCCUAUGCCGUGCACGGCCACUUUCAGCCCACUCAGACAGGUUUCCUCCAGCCUGGUGGUGCCCUGUCCUUGCAAAAGCAGAUGGAACAUGCUAACCAGCAGACUGGCUUCUCCGACUCAUCCUCCCUGCGCCCCAUGCACCCCCAGGCUCUGCAUCCAGCCCCUGGACUCCUUGCUUCCCCCCAGCUCCCUGUGCAGAUGCAGCCAGCAGGAAAGUCGGGCUUUGCAGCUACCAGCCAACCUGGCCCUCGGCUCCCCUUCAUCCAACACAGCCAGAACCCGCGAUUCUACCACAAGUGACCAUCAGAUUAUAUCUUCAACACCAUACCCCCCACCCCAUCGUGGGUGAUGGUACCCCGCCCCCCGUGUGUCCCAGGCCAAUAAAAUCUACCUGCCACUGCC